GCGACUGACGCUCAUGCACGAAAGCGUGGGUAUCGAACAGGAUUAGAUACCCUGGUAGUCCACGCGGUAAACGAUGAUAACUAGUUAUUCGGCGCGAUUGAGUGCUGAGUGACCGAGCGAAAGCGUUAAGUUAUCCACCUGGGGAGUACGCCGGCAACGGUGAAACUCAAAGGAAUUGACGGGGGCCCGCACAAGCGGAGGAACAUGUGGUUUAAUUCGAUGAUACGCGAGGAACCUUACCCGGGCUCAAACGCAUGGCGCUACACCCUGAAAGGGGUGGUUCUUCGGACGUCAUGCGAGGUGCUGCAUGGUUGUCGUCAGCUCGUGCCGUGAGGUGUCGGCUUAAGUGCCAUAACGAGCGCAACCCCCAUCUUCAGUUGCCCCCGGGUUAAGCCGGGCACUCUGGAGAGACUGCCGGCGCAAGCUGUGAGGAAGGCGGGGAUGACGUCAAAUCAGCACGGCCCUUACGUCCGGGGCGACACACGUGUUACAAUGGCGGGGCUACAGAGGGAAGCCAGGCGGCGACGCCGAGCUGAUCCCGAAAACCCGUCUCAGUUCGGAUCGGAGUCUGCAACCCGACUCCGUGAAGCUGGAUCGCUA
rnacentral:rRNA from 1 species